AUGUCUACCACUAGACAUGCAACUACAAGCAAUGUAACCCGAUUGCAAUUGCGCCGGCACAAAGCAAUUGCAACUGGGGUUGGGAGGGGAAGUUGUCGGGGCCAGUUGCAUGUCCGUAUUAGAAAUGCAACUGCAAGUGUUGUAAUCCGACUGCAACUGCACGGGGCUCAAAGCGACUGCAACUGGGUUCCGGAAAGGAGUGGUCAGGAUACUUGUAUGUCCAGCACUAGACAUGCAACUGCAAGUGUUAUAACCCGACUGCAGCUUCAAGCGUUGUUACCCGACUGCAACUGCAGGGGGCACAAAACACUUCAACUAGGGUUGGGAAAGAACUUGUCGAGGCCAGUUGCAUGUCCACCACUAGACAUGCAACUGCAAGUGUUGUAA
rnacentral:rRNA from 1 species